rnacentral:lncRNA from 1 species
UCAAAAUUGGUUUGUUUUGGGAAUAUUUGUUUGCUCAAUAUGAGUGGGAGGGCGUGAAAGAACAUAUUUUUUGCAUUGAUGAGUUUGAGCCUGGGAAGAGAAACCUUACAAUAGAAUAGAAUAGAAGAGAGAAGAGAAAUCUUACAAUAGAAGAGAAGAGAAGAGAAUCGGAGGGUAAUGGAAGGAUUGGAUGGUUUGAUAGAUAGGCUUUUGGAAGUAAGGAAGAACAGGGGGAAACGGAUUCAACUGGUGGAGUCAGAAAUUCGGAACCUUUGCAGCACGGCCAAAGAUCUGUUUCUAAGCCAGCCAAACCUUCUGGAAUUGGAGGCUCCCAUAAACGUCUGUGGUGAGUUUAUUCAUUCAUGCAUUCACCUUCAUAUUGUUCGAGAUGCUCAUCUACAAUAAAUAAGACAUUCACAAAUUAAAAGAUAAUGUUAAAUGAGUUUAAAUAUUUUAUUAUCAAAAUAAAAUAUAUCAGUCUUAGCAUAUAGAAUAAGAUAUUGAUAUCCAAAAGUGAGUCAAGUUUAUAUUAGAUAGAAAUGGAAAAAUUGAAGAAGAUGAAUAUUAACUCAAUCUACAAAAUUGGAAUAGAGAUGUCUAAAAAACACAAAAUAUAGCUAGGAUAAUUAUGAUUCUGAUAUUAUAUUAAAAGUGGAUUUUAAGUCUGACUCAAUCCAAAAAACUGAUUUGUAAGGUGAGAUUUGCACCUCACUUGUAUAUUAUAAAUGGAUAUAAUCUCUAGUCGACAUGAAACUUCCAAAACACGUUCAGAUAUAGACAUUUCGUAAAUGAUAGUAGAAAUUGGAUGGUCCAAUAAGGAUUCCACAGUCAAUCCAAACAAAAAUACUUACUUAUAACUUACUAUAAUAGGAAAUGAUGAUAAUCUUCUAUGUGAUUGUAUUCAUAUCUAAUGAGUAUUGUAUCUUUAUUUGAACCUCCUCUUCUAUAUAUGCAAAGAUAAAGUGAUACGAAGUUGGUGAAUGAUUGUUUGCAGGGGACAUACACGGGCAGUAUCCAGACCUGUUGCGACUGUUCGAGUACGGUGGGUUUCCGCCGGAUUCCAAUUAUCUAUUCCUGGGAGACUACGUGGACAGAGGAAAACAGAGCGUGGAGACCAUAUGC